AGACAGCCAACCUGUCCUUUGAAGCUUUGAUGCCAGGCAUUGACUUCUCUCUAGCUAUGACAGUCCCAGAUGGCAUCUUCUUCUUCCAAUAGAUGGCUAUUUUGUAUACAAUGAAAACCUGUU
rnacentral:miRNA from 1 species